UGGCUCAGUGGUAGAGUGUUUGCCUUGCAUGCAUGAGGCCCUGGGUUUGAUUCCCCAG
rnacentral:tRNA from 1 species